rnacentral:misc_RNA from 1 species
GUAGGUGAACCUGCGGAGGGAUCAUUCACAUGAUUACUUUUUAAACAAACUGUGAACUUUAUAUACACUAUUCGUGUUUGUAUGUUUUAACAUAUAAACAUUGUCAUUCGAUUGAACAUAAGAUAGUUGGCUUGAAUUUUAAUUAAUUCUUUCUCAGCUUUGAUUUGAUUUGAAAACUAAACAUUUUUAAUCAAUCAACCAUAAACAUAGAAAUAACUCUAUGCCCUGGAUAUCUUGGUUCUC